GAGGCCACUGCUAUCGGAGUUCGAUUAAGCCAUGCGAGUCGAGAGGUGCAAGACCUCGGCAUACUGCUCAGUAACACGUGGACAAUCUAACCUAUGGAAGGGGAUAACCCCGGGAAACUGGGGAUAAUACCCUAUAGACUAUGGAUGCUGGAAUGCUUCGUAGUCGAAAGGUCCGCCGCCAUAGGAUGGGUCUGCGGCCGAUUAGGUUGUUGUUGGGGUAACGGCCCAACAAGCCUGUAAUCGGUACGGGUUGUGGGAGCAAGAGCCCGGAGAUGGAUUCUGAGACACGAAUCCAGGCCCUACGGGGCGCAGCAGGCGCGAAAACUUUGCAAUGCGGGAAACCGUGACAGGGGAACUCCGAGUGCCCGUAAAAUCGGGCUGUCCAUCAGUUUAAAUAACUGGUGAAGAAAGGGCCGGGCAAGACCGGUGCCAGCCGCCGCGGUAAUACGGGCGGCUCGAGUGGUGGCCACUAUUACUGGGCUUAAAGCGUUCGUAGCUGGUUUGUUAAGUCUCUGGGGAAAUCUUCCGGCUCAACCGGAAGGCGUCUCAGGGAUACUGGCAGACUAGGGACCGGGAGAGGUGAGGGGUACUCCAGGGGUAGGAGUGAAAUCCCGUAAUCCUUGGGGGACCACCUGUGGCGAAGGCGCCUCACCAGAACGGCUCCGACAGUGAGGGACGAAAGCUGGGGGAGCAAACCGGAUUAGAUACCCGGGUAGUCCCAGCUGUAAACGAUGCGCGUUAGGUGUAUCGGUGACCACGAGUUACCGAGGUGCCGAAGAGAAAUCGUGAAACGUGCCGCCUGGGAAGUACGGUCGCAAGGCUGAAACUUAAAGGAAUUGGCGGGGGAGCACCACAACAGGUGGAGCCUGCGGUUU
rnacentral:rRNA from 1 species